GGCUCAGUGGUGGAGCAGGUGCAACAUAUGUAGAGGCUACAGUCCUCAAUACAGUUGUCUCUGGUUCGAUUCCCAGCGCUGGGCAA